UACGUAGGGACCAAGCGUUGUCCGGAAUCAUUGGGCGUAAAGAGCGUGUAGGCGGCUUGUUAAGUCUUGCGUGAAAUCUCGGGGCUCAACCCCGAGCGGUCGUGAGAAACUGGCAGGCUAGAGUGCGGGAGAGGAGAGUGGAAUUCCUGGUGUAGCGGUGAAAUGCGCAGAUAUCGGGAAGAACACCCGUGGCGAAGGCGGUUCUCUGGGACGGUACUGACGCUGAGACGCGAAAGCGUGGGGAGCGAACAGG
rnacentral:rRNA from 1 species